rnacentral:rRNA from 1 species
CCUACGGGCGGCAGCAGUAGGGAAUAUUGCUCAAUGGGGGAAACCCUGAAGCAGCAACGCCGCGUGAAGGAUGAAGGUUUUCGGAUCGUAAACUCCUUUUGUUAGAGAAGAUAAUGACGAUAUCUAACGAAUAAGCACCUGCUAACUCCGUUCCAGCAGCCGCGGGAAUACGGAGGGGGCAAGCGUUACUCGGAAUCACUGGGCGUAAAGAGCUCGUAGGCGGGAUAGCAAGUCAGGUGUGAAAUCCUAUUGUUUAACCAUAGGAAUGCAUUUGAAACUGUUAUUCUAGAGUAUUAGAGAGGUAGGCAGAAUUCCUGGUGUAGGGGUGAAAUGCGUAGAGAUCAAGAGGAAUACCGAUAGCGAAGGCGGCCUGCUGGAAGGAAACUGACGCUGAUGAGCGAAAGCGUGGGGAGCAAACAGGAUUAGAUACCCUUGUAGUC